rnacentral:rRNA from 1 species
UACGAAGGGGGGCUAGCGUUGCUCGGAAUCACUGGGCGUAAAGCGCACGUAGGCGGACUCUUAAGUCAGGGGUGAAAUCCCGGAGCUCAACUCCGGAACUGCCUUUGAUACUGGCGAUCUUGAGUCCGGGAGAGGUGAGUGGAACUGCGAGUGUAGAGGUGAAAUUCGUAGAUAUUCGCAAGAACACCAGUGGCGAAGGCGGACUCACUGGCCCGGUACUGACGCUGAGGUGCGAAAGC